AUGCGUCCAUCACAAUUAUGUGAUCUCUCCCACACCUUGCCCAUUGGAUCAGAUUCCAUUUUCACCGUUAACAACACCAUCGAGGACGACCAGCGGCGAGACCACCGCGCAAACCCGUCCCCGCCGCGAGCACACAAAGCGACGCUGCAACCAUCCACCAAAGAACCGUACGACGCAGCAGCCAAAACCGACAAACACCGUCACUGUCUAAUUGAAGCUGCCAUUAGCGGCCGCUCCUCACCACCGGCCGCCGCAGUCCGCUCAUGA